CUUUUCUUUGUUCCUUCAAAUCACAACUCUGUUAUAUUUGAAGACGGUGGAUCGCGGCUUCCACUCUUCAAGCUUCCAUCGAUACAGAAGGAAAACAUAGAUCUUGAUGCAUGUAUAUUCAUCUUGGAGCUUUGAAAGGAGAAGAUGAACCUUCCCAAUGAGUGAGAGAACUUGAAAGCAAA